UAAUAAAUCUCUCCAGUAGAGAUGGGAUUUAAGCUUUUGCAAAGCUUCCUUUAAAUCUUCAGCUGCCUUCAUGUUAGGUAGCUCAUGUGAUCCUCUAGUAGCUACCAAUAUUGUUACCUAACAUAGGACAUCUCAAAUAUAAGAAGAAUGUAAUAUUCAAAAUUUACAGUAAGAAGUCAAAAUGCCAUAGGUUGCAUGUAAUGAGAAUAGCCACAAAUUAGGACAAUUAUGUAGCCUUUGUGAAUAUCUCAAGGAUUCUUCCACCAUGUGGUUCUCUCUCUGUAAUUGCUAGUAUUUAUCGAAGAUAAUCCAUGGAACCUUGACCCUACCGCUUUCAAAUGCAGACAUCUUCUCAUGAUCCUACGCUAUAUAAAUACUUCACUCAUUCAUGUGAUCUAGAAAAUAUUGCAUGAAUAAUCUCUGUGAAUGAGUGCUUACUCCUUAUGUUUAAUUGAGGAUUUAUUUGAAGAUAUCAAACAUUAGGAAGAUUCAUGAAAAUUGUACAAGUAAUGGUCUCAAAGGAUCGAUGCUACUAAAAAUUAACUACUGCAUUCAUAAGUAAUUGGGCAUAAGUAUACCGCAUUGGUAUCACAUUAGGGCAUGGAUUGGUAACACGUUAGAGUGUGGAAACAACUUGAUUUUUUAUUUUUUAAAGCAUUCAAUCGAUUCA
rnacentral:lncRNA from 1 species